CGCGUAGGCGGCUUUGCAAGUCAGAUGUGAAAUCCCGGGGCUUAACCCCGGAAGUGCAUUUGAAACUGCAGGGCUUGAGUAUGGGAGAGGGAAGUGGAAUUCCUGGUGUAGAGGUGAAAUUCGUAGAUAUCAGGAGGAACACCAGUGGCGAAGGCGACUUCCUGGACCAAUACUGACGCUGAGGCGCGAAGGCGUGGGGAGCAAACAGGAUUAGAUACCCUGGUAGUCC
rnacentral:rRNA from 1 species